rnacentral:SRP_RNA from 15 species
AACGCCUGAGGAGGGAAAGGCUGCAUAGAGAAGUCUCCACAGAGCAAAGUGAAUCGAUAGUGCUUGAA